CUUGUUUUGUCUCUGUCUCUGUAUAUUGCUAAUGAGAACCUUCUGGAUUUCCUGGAUUUAAGGGACCACCUGCUGUGAAGGAAAUGAUAUACUGCUCCUUAGGCUAUCCCAGAAGGCCAAGCCCGACCACACCCAUUUUUUCAGCUUUACUGAAGCUACAGUGGGUUUGUCUAAUCUGGAGUGGGAGUAAGGGAAAGGCUCAUUUCUCCCUUAAUGCAUCUUUAAACAGCCUCCUGUUCCCCAAAACCACUUAUUAGAGAGAAUGAUGGAGAGGGAAGAACCCAGUGACCUUCAUCUGUCUGCUUCUCGUUUGGUUUUGCCCUGUGGCCAUGUGGCCCUAUUUUUCGUCCGUUCUCUGCGCUGUAAUUGAUUUCUGAGCUAGGAGACAAAAUUGGACCUACAUGUCAUCAUGGUUCUAGCUGUCUGCUGCAGACGAGCUAUCAUUAGACCAGUGCAGAAUAGAGUUCUCCUUCCUUUUCCACCUGCUGGACGUUCAUUCACAGAAGCCCAUUUGCAUAUGAACGCCAUGGCUACUGUAUUAAUGAAACAUUGCCUCCAUUGUUGCUAUGAGAACAAAAGCGGCGAUGAUGUCAUGGCGCUCCUUUCACCUCUCCACGCUGGAAGAUAAGCUGAGAGGACACAGCAGGCUGUGUGGAGUGGCUCAUUAUGAGUGAAGGCAUGGUUCCCAGCCUCUGCACUGACUGGAUGCCCACGCAGUCUCCCUGCCAACCGUUCAGCAGAAUGGUGGAAAAUGCCACAUUCAACCGAUUCAUGUCAUUGUUUAAAAGGUCUUGAAAAGGCAUGUGAUAUAGAAGCUUUUUGGCUUGGUUGCCCUGCUGAUUGCCCUGAUUAGAUGUUUUCAUUUCUUUAUAGAGUUUUCUUGCAGUUGUACAAAACUGAAUUGCUUUUGGAGGUUGCAACUUUAUGCAAAUGAGGGAUGCUGGUGUAAUGUACUGGAAGCAAAUUGGUUAUUCACUGUCAUUAGACGUUUGUAUUAAUGUUGUUUUAUUUAUUUAGGACUAUUUACUGAAUUUAUUUAGUCUAAUUUAAUGACAUUUUAUUGGUUAUUGGAUCAGAUUUUUCAUGUAUGUCUCAACUGUUUUAAUAUUUAGAUUACCUUUAUCAUCUAACACUUCUUGAAUCUCAUUUUUGAGACUUUAACUCAUUUGAACAAUCUAAUAACACUGCUAAAUGUAAUUUUUAGCAAAUCUCAAAAAGAAUAUCCAUUUUUCAUAAUGUAUAUAAUAAUGUUGUGAAAACCAUUGAUUUUAGUAUACAGUGUUUCAUUUUUAUUUAUUUAGAUGAAACCCUGGAGGUUUGUGAAGGCAUUCAUGAGUUGACGAAAAGCUAAUAAUCAGUCAAAUUAAAUGUAAAAUUAAAAUAGAUAAACAUUAUACAUUUUUACGGAAUUUCCAACAUUUUUGUGGAGAGAAGUUUACAAGGAUUUGGCAUAAGCUCUAGUGUUUGAAUGAAAGGAAAUAAUUUAAGAUAGACAGUAUUGUGAAUUGCAAAAUAAAUUAUUGUUAAAAUUAAU